rnacentral:rRNA from 1 species
UACGGAGGGUGCAAGCGUUACUCGGAUUUACUGGGUGUAAAGCGCACGUAGGCGGUUUGGUUAGUCUGAUGUGAAAGUCCGGGGCUCAACCCCGGAAGUGCAUUGGAUACUGCCAGACUAGAGUAUAGGAGGGGUAAGCGGAAUUCCUGGUGUAGAGGUGAAAUUCGUAGAUAUCAGGAGGAACAACGGCGGCGAAGGCGGCUUACUGGACUAUUACUGACGCUGAGGUGCGAAAGCGUGGGGAGCGAACAGG